rnacentral:rRNA from 1 species
CAAUAGCGUAUAUUAAAGUUGUUGCAGUUAGAACGCUCGUAGUCGGAUUUCGGGGCGUUCCGACCGGUCUGCCGAUGGGUAUGCACUGGCCGGAGUGUCCUUUUUGCCGGAGACCGUGCCUACUCUUAACUGAGCGGGGGCGGGAGACGGCACUUUUACUUUGAAAAAAUCAGAGUGUUUCAAGCAGGCAGCUCGCUCUUGCAUGGAUUAGCAUGGGAUAAUGAAAUAGGACUUUGGUGCUAUUUUGUUGGUUUCGAACACCGAAGUAAUGAUGAGAAGGGACAGUCAGGGGCACUCGUAUUCCGCAGAGAGAGGUGAAAUUCUCAGACCCGCGGAAGACGAACCACUGCGAANGNAUUUGCNAGGGAUGUUUNCACUG